GAUGAAGAACGCAGCGAAAUGCGAUACGUAAUGUGAAUUGCAGAAUUCAGUGAAUCAUCGAGUCUUUGAACGCACAUUGCGCCCCCUGGUAUUCCGGGGGGCAUGCCUGUCCGAGCGUCAUUGCUGCCCUCAAGCACGGCUUGUGUGUUGGGCCUCCGUCCUCCUCCCGGGGGACGGGCCCGAAAGGCAGCGGCGGCACCGCGUCCGGUCCUCGAGCGUAUGGGGCUUCGUCACCCGCUCUUGUAGGCCCGGCCGGCGCUUGCCGACACAUCAAUCUUUUUUCCAGGUUGACCUCGGAUCAUGUAGGGAUACCCGCUGAACUUAAGCAUAUCAAUAAGCGGAGGA
rnacentral:misc_RNA from 1 species